rnacentral:rRNA from 1 species
GUCUCGAAGCGGCGUUGCUUAAUACUUGCAGUCGAGCGGACAGAUGGGAGCUUGCUCCCUGAUGUUAGCGGCGGACGGGUGAGUAACACGUGGGUAACCUGCCUGUAAGACUGGGAUAACUCCGGGAAACCGGGGCUAAUACCGGAUGCUUGAUUGAACCGCAUGGUUCAAUUAUAAAAGGUGGCUUUUAGCUACCACUUACAGAUGGACCCGCGGCGCAUUAGCUAGUUGGUGAGGUAACGGCUCACCAAGGCAACGAUGCGUAGCCGACCUGAGAGGGUGAUCGGCCACACUGGGACUGAGACACGGCCCAGACUCCUACGGGAGGCAGCAGUAGGGAAUCUUCCGCAAUGGACGAAAGUCUGACGGAGCAACGCCGCGUGAGUGAUGAAGGUUUUCGGAUCGUAAAACUCUGUUGUUAGGGAAGAACCAGUACCGUUCGAAUUUGGCGGUACCUUGACAGUACAUAACCAAAAGCCACGGCUAACUACGUGCCAGCCCCCUUGGUAAUUUCCACGUGGC